rnacentral:tRNA from 1 species
ACUGCGAUAACUCAGCUGGUAGAGUAUCUGCCUGGUAAGCGGGAGAUCGUCGGUUCGAUUCCGGCUCGCGGUG